rnacentral:lncRNA from 1 species
GUGACUCGCGGGCAUUCUCCCCGCUUCUCGCAGAAAUCGCCCGGAAAUGGGAGCUUGCGCGAAGCGCUGAUCGGCCCGCUGGGGAAGCUCAUGGACCCGGGCUCCCUGCCGCCCCUCGACUCUGAAAUCUCUUCCAGGAUCUAAGUCACUUCCAGGAGACGUGGCUCGCUGAACUCAGGUACCAGACAGUGAUGAGCAGUUUGUUCCUGAUUUCCAUUCAGAAAACUAGCUUUCCACAGCCCCACCACCAGGAUCAAGAAGGAGCCCCAGAGUCCCCGCACAGACCCGGCCCUGUCCUGCAGCAGGAAGCCGCCACUCCCCUACCACCAUGGCGAGCAGUGCCUUUACUCCAUGCCUAUGACCCCCCCAGACAAAUCGCCAUCAAGUCCCCUGCCCCUGGUGCCCUUGGACAGUCGCCCCUACAGCCCUUU